UUUGAUUAUUUACAAAGUUAUGGACUAUCAAUCCCUGUUAACCUCAAGCCUUAUAAGUCAUUUUUGGUUUUUCUGGCCUGCAACUUCAGCUGGGUCAGAUCAUCAGCUUGUCUGCUCUUCUGAAGACCUCAGUCUGAAGCUCUCCCAGGAGAGCUGCUGUACCCAGGGCAACAGGCACUGAAGUUUCCAGUGGAUAUCAGGAGCAGCUUGAUUAAUGAAAAUCGUGCCCAUUGCUGACUGGUUUUUCUCUGGCUUCUGGGUUAAAG
rnacentral:lncRNA from 1 species